rnacentral:lncRNA from 10 species
GAUCCCACAUCCCGUCGGCUUUCUUCAACCUCUCUUCCCGGAGCGCCCCCCAAUCCACGAGUGGCAGCCGCGGGACUGUCGCGUCGGCGCCCGACGCCGGAGUCAGCAGGGCGCAAAAGCGCCGGUAGAUCAUGGCAACCAUAGAAGAAAUUGCACAUCAAAUUAUUGAACAACAGAUGGGAGAGGUAUGUCUAGUUUACGGUUGAUGCACUGGCCCACCAAACUUUUCUAAUUCCUACUAAAUGCAUAUACCAGGUUCUGGAGUUCCAGAAAUAAAAGAUAUUCCCUAACUUAAGAUAGCUUUUCAAGCUACUGAGAGAUAGUUGAAUAAUCAGACAAUUCAUAGUAGAAUGUGGUAAGUUCUGUGACAGGUCAUUGUAUCAGGUGCAAUGGGAGCACAGAAGAAAAUUGAAAGGAAUGAAGGGAAGGAAGGAAGGAAAGAAAUUAAAGAGCUGUAGAGUGAGUAGGAAUGCUUUUGAGGGAAUUCUUUUUAGAGGGUACAAUCUGAGCCUAGUUUUGGUGGGAUCAGUAGGAGUUCAGCAUCAAUACUGACAUCUUCAUUUUUUUAAAUGGUUGUGUCCUAUUACUUAGUAAGAGAUACCACAUAAUUUGGAAGUUCUCAAAGUAUUAUCUGGGGACACUUCAGAGAAUCAACCAGGAUAGAAUUUUGUGGCAAUAGAAUCGGUAGUUUAAAAGAUUGUUACAGAGCAGCAAACUGGGCAGAAAAUCCAGAUUGUGACAGCACUUGAUCAUAAUACCCAAGGCAAGCAGUUCAUUCUGACAAAUCACGACGGCUCUACUCCAAGCAAAGUCAUUCUGGCCAGGCAAGAUUCCACUCCGGGAAAAGUUUUCCUUACAACUCCAGAUGCAGCAGGUGUCAACCAGUUAUUUUUUACCACUCCUGAUCUGUCUGCACAACACCUGCAGCUCCUAACAGAUAAUUCUCCAGACCAAGGACCAAAUAAGGUUUUUGAUCUUUGCGUAGUAUGUGG